GAUGAACGCUAGCUACAGGCUUAACACAUGCAAGUCGAGGGGCAGCAUGGUCUUAGCUUGCUAAGGCCGAUGGCGACCGGCGCACGGGUGAGUAACACGUAUCCAACCUGCCGUCUACUCUUGGACAGCCUUCUGAAAGGAAGAUUAAUACAAGAUGGCAUCAUGAGUCCGCAUGUUCACAUGAUUAAAGGUAUUCCGGUAGACGAUGGGGAUGCGUUCCAUUAGAUAGUAGGCGGGGUAACGGCCCACCUAGUCUUCGAUGGAUAGGGGUUCUGAGAGGAAGGUCCCCCACAUUGGAACUGAGACACGGUCCAAACUCCUACGGGAGGCAGCAGUGAGGAAGAUUGGGCAAUGGGCGCAGGCCUGAACCAGCCAAGUAGCGUGAAGGAGGACUGCCCUAGGGGUUGUAAACUUCUUUUAUAAAGGAAUAAAGUCGGGUAUGUAUACCCGUUUGCAUGUACCUUAUGAAUAAGGAUCGGCUAACUCCGUG
rnacentral:rRNA from 1 species